AAACAUCAUAUGGUUAUUAUAUAAACCUCUUACGGGAUUUCUAAGGUUAAUUUCAAUAUAUAAAUGGCUACUCAACAGAAUCAAGGUGUACAGGUCCUGCUAAUGCUGAGAGACAAAAAAGAGAACAGAAAGGACCACUCUUGCUGAGACAAAAAAGAGAACUGGGAGGACAACUCCUGCAGGCAUGUGGACAUUCAUAGAAAAUACAGCCUUCACCAUCUAAGACUUGGGACAGGAAAGCAGAACAGAAAAAGAUAAACAUAAAAUGAAAGGGCCAGAUGGGAGAAUAAACUGUGUAGAAAAGCUGACAGGUUCUAAAGCACUGUGAUAUCUCCUACUGUUUAUAAAACAGGCAUAUGGACUUUAAACCAGGAGCAAAUCUCUGGAACAUCUUUGGUUAUCAGAUUUCAAAUUUUGAGCUGCGUGGUUGUGUUUGCCAAGGUUCUUCUCGUCAAAAUCUGCACUGGAAGGAAGAUUCUUCCUUGACAAACCAUCUUUUGAACAUCUGGUGAAAAAAAAAAUGGAGAAAUAAUAUGAGAGAAGAAAACGUGAAUAAGACAUUAAAUGAAAC
rnacentral:lncRNA from 1 species